rnacentral:tRNA from 1 species
GGAGAGAUGUCCGAGAGGCUGAUGGUGGUGGUCUCGAAAACCAUUGCGCAGUUACGCUGUGCCGGGGGUUCAAAUCCCUCUCUCUCCGCCA